rnacentral:rRNA from 1 species
UACGAGUGCCCCGAGCGUUAUCCGGAAUUAUUGGGCGUAAAGGGUGCGUAGGUGGUUGUGUUAGUCCUUUGUUAAAACUCUUGGCUUAACCAAGAAGGUGCGGAGGAAACGGCACGACUAGAGAGUGUGAGAGGCAAGCGGAACUCAUGGUGUAGGGGUGAAAUCCGUUAAUAUCAUGGGGAACACCGAAGGCGAAGGCAGCUUGCUGGCACAUUUCUGACACUGAAGCACGAAAGCGUGGGGAUCAAACAGG